GGGUUCAUACGUUGGUCGGGCUUCUUGGUCUGUACUAGCGUAAUGGAUUCCUACCUUCUGAAUAACCGGCAUGCCAUUAAUUUGGUGCGCCGAGGAAGCAGGACUGUUACCUUGAAAAAAUCAGAGUGCUUAAAGCAGGCUAUCGCCUGAAUACAUUAGCAUGGAAUAAUGAAAUAGGACGGCAUGGUUCUCUUUUGUUGGUUUCUAGGAUCACCGUA
rnacentral:rRNA from 1 species